CCGCGCGUAAACACACGCCUACGCGGGCCCGAGAGGCCUUGCGCCAGCCUCGGGAAGGGGCGGGUCCCGGGACCACAUCUGCGGGGUCGGCCUAGCCCGGCCGGUGGGAACAGCGUUCCGACGGCCCGUGCCGCCGCGAGCUCGGCGUCCGGGACUGCGGAUCCUGGCAUGCUGCGCGGAAACACGGUGCCCACUGCUGGGGCAGGAGCUUGCUUCUCGGUGUAACAGGAGGUCACGGCCACUAGAUGGAGACAUCCCUUCGUAGACUCCAUCCGCCCAAGUCUCAUCCCAGAGUCGUGCACGACACGGCCGGCGGGGGCUGAUUCCAGGACUAUGGCUCCCACCGCUGCCGCCGAGAGCCAGGCCCGCUCCUCUGAGCUUCUGCAAAGGCCAGCGUUGUUUCCUCAAGCACGCUCCCCAAACUGCUACACUGCAUCCUUUGGCGCAAAAGAUGGCAAAUGGACAAGCGUGUUUUCUUUCACUCGUUAUACAGUUAUUAGGUAUUUGUUCGAAUGUGUAAAGGAAAAAAUAUAACAAAUACAUUCAGCCCGUGACAUUAGUAGUUUCACUUAAGGAUACUUCUUUUUGAAAAGGAUCACACUUAAAAUUAGAUUAAAGAAAAUCGUUAAGUAGCUAGCACGCACAAGGGCCGUGUGAAAACGGCAAGGCUGCGGGGCGCUGGGCCUCGGCUGAGGUCUGGGAAGGGGGCUGGCUGAACUGCUGCAGGGAGAGUUGGUAAAAGUCCCUGCACCGCGGCCGUGCUGGAAACUCCAUUUCCAGGAACGAACUGUCAUCUCACGAAUGGAUUGGAGGCCUCCGCCUGCUGAUCGGCAGAGAGUGAUCCCAGCCCGCUUGUCUUCCCCCGGCCUCUGAAGCAGGAGGCCUCUGAUUUGCUCUGCGCUCGUGGGUGGCUGUGUAGGUUGAAGAACCUGGAACCCUCUCAUGCUGGAGACGCAGCCAGGAAGCCACCCUCUGUGGAGUCAGAGGCCCACGGUGUGCAUGCUGCGUUGUCUGUUCCAUGCACCCAGUAGGAGCAGACGGGCUGGGGGAGGGGGAGGAUCUUUGGGGGCAAACGGCGAUUUGUGGGGCUUAGCUAACAAUUUUGAAGCCCAGAAAUCAGGAUUUGGGGAAUAAACUUGAGUAGGGAGUCA